rnacentral:rRNA from 1 species
AUUGAACGCUGGCGGCAUGCUUUACACAUGCAAGUCGAACGGCAGCGCGGGCCUCGGCCUGGCGGCGAGUGGCGAACGGGUGAGUAAUGCAUCGGAACCUGCCCAGUAGUGGGGGAUAGCGCGGCGAAAGCCGGAUUAAUACCGCAUACGACCUGAGGGUGAAAGCGGGGGACCGAAAGGCCUCGCGCUAUUGGAGCGGCCGAUGUCGGAUUAGCUAGUUGGUGGGGUAAAGGCUUACCAAGGCGACGAUCCGUAGCUGGUCUGAGAGGACGACCAGCCACACUGGGACUGAGACACGGCCCAGACUCCUACGGGAGGCAGCAGUGGGGAAUUUUGGACAAUGGGGGCAAGCCUGAUCCAGCCAUGCCGCGUGCGGGAAGAAGGCCUUCGGGUUGUAAACCGCUUUUGUUUGGGAAGAAAUCCUGUGGGCUAAUACCCCGGGGGGAUGACGGUACCGGAAGAAUAGGCACCGGCUAACUACGUG